CAGUGGUCAGGAUGAUUAUUGGGCCUAAAGCAUCCGUAGCCGGCUCUGUAAGUUUUCGGUUAAAUCUAUACGCUCAACGUAUAGGCUGCCGGGAAUACUGCAGAGCUAGGGAGUGGGAGAGGUAGACGGUACUCGGUAGGAAGGGGUAAAAUCCUUUGAUCUAUUGAUGACCACCUGUGGCGAAGGCGGUCUACCAGAACACGUCCGACGGUGAGGGAUGAAAGCUGGGGGAGCAAACCGGAUUAGAUACCCGGGUAGUCCCAGCUGUAAACUAUGCAAACUCAGUGAUGCAUUGGCUUGUGGCCAAUGCAGUGCUGCAGGGAAGCCGUUAAGUUUGCCGCCUGGGAAGUACGUACGCAAGUAUGAAACUUAAAGGAAUUGGCGG
rnacentral:rRNA from 1 species